CAGAUGUUCAAUCUUUUUCAAUAUGUUUUUUCAACUGAAUUUCAGCUAGGAAACUUCAUCGAAACCUCAUUUGAUUCCAACUCAAUUCAUCAUGUGCAACUUGAGCUACAUCCACCAAAAUAAUCAACAAACCUAUGAACGCCGUACAAUCUCUUCUUCAUUGAUUUCUUCUUAAACUUGAUUAUUAAUCAGAUUCUACACAAAAAAACCAAUCACAUCGUGGGUAAUCGAGAAAUCUAUACAUCCACCAAAUUACGGGAGGAAUCAGAUGGAGGAACAGUUGAAGAGUAAUUGAAGUGAGAGUUUAUUUUUGUUUCAAUACCAGUCGUGAUUAAUUGUUAUGAUGGUUUGAUUAACGGCAGGGAUAAUGUUUAUAAUUUUUGUUCAGUAUGAAAAUUAGUGUGAUUAUAAUGAUUUAUGCAAAUCAGUUGAGAAUGAAUUUUGAAAUUUGUUCAUUGUAA